rnacentral:rRNA from 1 species
CAGCCGCCGCGGUAAAACGUAGGUGGCAAGCGUUGUCCGGAAUUAUUGGGCGUAAAGGGCUCGCAGGCGGUUUCUUAAGUCUGAUGUGAAAGCCCCCGGCUCAACCGGGGAGGGUCAUUGGAAACUGGGAAACUUGAGUGCAGAAGAGGAGAGUGGAAUUCCACGUGUAGCGGUGAAAUGCGUAGAGAUGUGGAGGAACACCAGUGGCGAAGGCGACUCUCUGGUCUGUAACUGACGCUGAGGAGCGAAAGCGUGGGGAGCGAACAGGAUUAGAGACCCCGGUAGUCCCUGUCUCUUAUAC